GCGGUGUAUUAUUCUGCUACGAUUGCAUGGUCUGGGAUAGAUGAAGGGGGAGCUCUACAGCUUUCUGAGAGGCUGAAAGUGCGCGCCGGGACAGGAUGCAGUCACAAGUGCCCAUCAAAACCACUGCUGCAGGCUGGAGGAACCUGGCAGUGACAGGUUGAAUCAAGCUGGGAGGAGAUCACCUGGGCCCAGUGGGGCAGCGCUACGAUUAACAUCGCCCAUCCUGGCGGAUGCUCACAGUGAACAAGGGCUUAACACAAUCGCAGUAUCCAGCUCCAGCCAGGAAUGUGUUUCUCUCUGCAACGCUGCGUCUUCCUCCAGAGGACAUCUCCCUUUGUCCUCUUCCUCUACUUGUGGCUUGGUUUGGAAGUCAAACUCGUUUUAAUGGGGGGAAUGUUUAAAUUACAAAAAGAGUGAUUCAAAAUAUAGGAAUAGGCUUUUCGAACGUUGUUAUUGGAUUUGUAGCAUGGCUUGAUUGUUGAUGAGCACUUGAGUGGUUUUGUCGAGGUACCUUUUCUCUCUAUAACGUAUAUUUUGAUUAAAGUAAACCAUGCAUUUGUUCUUUUAACUGGAUGAAUAAACAUGUGAUUUUAUUGAUGAACUAACCCUUUGAACCUGAUCUUUACUGUUGGCCUAAAGCAGAAACACAGAGGUAUAAGGUUGUAUCUGAUUACAUUUAGAUUGAGUAACGGUAAAUCAUUCUGAGAGGCCAAUCAGAAUCGGUUCCGCAAUACACAAUAGUUCUAGGCUAUAUAGGUUAUAUUACAGGGAAUGUUUUUCCCUUCCACUGAGUCAGUUGAACAUGAAUAUGCCAUGUAUGUUAUCAAAAAGGUCAAUGUAUUUGUCAGUUUUAUACCUUGACUAGAUGGCUAAGUGGGAUAGUAACAGACCAUUUUACUUAAGAGGAGAUACAUGCAUGCAUCAUGAACAUUGUGGCUUUUCAGGGCAGUAAUUUGAAAUGUCUUUCAAAUGUUACAGCUAUCAAUGAUUUUUGAUUAGCUAAGUAGCCAGUUAGCCUUAUUGACUUAGAUGCCGUUCAGUUAGCAUGCCAUCAACUCACACUACUGUACUUUUUCUUGUUUGUUAGAUAUGCCAAAUAAACACAGUGGGUAUUAAUUAAUGUUUAAAGAUAUGCUUUACUAUUGUAGGCAGUUGUCAUACCAUUGUGGAUUGGAAAUAUUUCAUUCCAAAGUCAAUUUAUUUAUCCUCGCUUUAGCU